rnacentral:rRNA from 1 species
UACAGAGGGCGCGAGCGUUGUCCGGAAUUAUUGGGCGUAAAGAGCUCGUAGGCGGCUUGUCACGUCGGGUGUGAAAGCCCGGGGCUUAACCCCGAGCCUGCUUCUGAUACGGGCAGACUAGAGGUAUGCAGGGGAGAACGGAAUUCCUGGUGUAGCGGUGAAAUGCGCAGAUAUUAGGAGGAACACCGGUGGCGAAGGCGGUCUC